rfam:Glycine soja cultivar W05 scaffold1660_16, whole genome shotgun sequence.
AUGCCUUUCUCGGCCUUUUGGUAAAGAUCAAGUGUAGUAUUUGUUCUUAUUAGUUUAAUGUCUGAUAUGUGGACCAUCGGUUCACACGAUAUCUUUAAGUGAGAGGGUCAAUUACAGUAGCUUGCUAACACCUGCAAAUAUCAAAUUUGUUCAAACUCAAAGGCAACGCAAGAUAACAUUUU